rnacentral:rRNA from 1 species
CCCUGCUUCCAGGAAAAGCCUCUAAGCAUCAGGUAACAUCAAAUCGUACCCCAAACCGACACAGGUGGUCAGGUAGAGAAUACCAAGGCGCUUGAGAGAACUCGGGUGAAGGAACUAGGCAAAAUGGUGCCGUAACUUCGGGAGAAGGCACGCUGAUAUGUAGGUGAAGCGACUUGCUCGUGGAGCUGAAAUCAGUCGAAGAUACCAGCUGGCUGCAACUGUUUAUUAAAAACACAGCACUGUGCAAACACGAAAGUGGACGUAUACGGUGUGACGCCUGCCCGGUGCCGGAAGGUUAAUUGAUGGGGUUAGCGGUAACGCGAAGCUCUUGAUCGAAGCCCCGGUAAACGGCGGCCGUAACUAUAACGGUCCUAAGGUAGCGAAAUUCCUUGUCGGGUAAGUUCCGACCUGCACGAAUGGCGUAAUGAUGGCCAGGCUGUCUCCACCCGAGACUCAGUGAAAUUGAACUCGCUGUGAAGAUGCAGUGUACCCGCGGCAAGACGGAAAGACCCCGUGAACCUUUACUAUAGCUUGACACUGAACAUUGAGCCUUGAUGUGUAGGAUAGGUGGGAGGCUUUGAAGUGUGGACGCCAGUCUGCAUGGAGCCGACCUUGAAAUACCACCCUUUAAUGUUUGAUGUUCUAACGUUGGCCCGUAAUCCGGGUUGCGGACAGUGUCUGGUGGGUAGUUUGACUGGGGCGGUCUCCUCCUAAAGAGUAACGGAGGAGCACGAAGGUUGGCUAAUCCUGGUCGGACAUCAGGAGGUUAGUGCAAUGGCAUAAGCCAGCUUGACUGCGAGCGUGACGGCGCGAGCAGGUGCGAAAGCAGGUCAUAGUGAUCCGGUGGUUCUGAAUGGAAGGGCCAUCGCUCAACGGAUAAAAGGUACUCCGGGGAUAACAGGCUGAUACCGCCCAAGAGUUCAUAUCGACGGCGGUGUUUGGCACCUCGAUGUCGGCUCAUCACAUCCUGGGGCUGAAGUAGGUCCCAAGGGUAUGGCUGUUCGCCAUUUAAAGUGGUACGCGAGCUGGGUUUAGAACGUCGUGAGACAGUUCGGUCCCUAUCUGCCGUGGGCGCUGGAGAACUGAGGGGGGCUGCUCCUAGUACGAGAGGACCGGAGUGGACGCAUCACUGGUGUUCGGGUUGUCAUGCCAAUGGCACUGCCCGGUAGCUAAAUGCGGAAGAGAUAAGUGCUGAAAGCAUCUAAGCACGAAACUUGCCCCGAGAUGAGUUCUCCCUGACUCCUUGAGGGUCCUGAAGGAACGUUGAAGACGACGACGUUGAUAGGCCGGGUGUGUAAGCGCAGCGAUGCGUUGAGCUAACCGGUACUAAUGAACCGUGAGGCUUAACCUU